rnacentral:ncRNA from 1 species
CGGAGCCGUGUACAGCGAGAGUUGUAAGCACGGUUCUGAGGGGGGACUGUGCAGACCUACCCUAGAAAUACGGCAAGGCGGCACUUUCCUACCCUAC